rnacentral:rRNA from 1 species
GCUAUCUACAGGCUUAACACAUGCAAGUCGAGGGGCAUCAGGAAGAAAGCUUGCUUUCUUUGCUGGCGACCGGCGCACGGGUGAGUAACACGUAUCCAACCUGCCCUUUACUCGGGGAUAGCCUUUCGAAAGAAAGAUUAAUACCCGAUAGCAUAAUGAUUCCGCAUGGUUUCAUUAUUAAAGGAUUCCGGUAAAGGAUGGGGAUGCGUUCCAUUAGGUUGUUGGUGAGGUAACGGCCCACCAAGCCUUCGAUGGAUAGGGGUUCUGAGAGGAAGGUCCCCCACAUUGGAACUGAGACACGGUCCAAACUCCUACGGGAGGCAGCAGUGAGGAAUAUUGGUCAAUGGGCGCUAGCCUGAACCAGCCAAGUAGCGUGAAGGAUGAAGGCUCUAUGGGUCGUAAACUUCUUUUAUAUAAGAAUAAAGUGCAGUAUGUAUACUGUUUUGUAUGUAUUAUAUGAAUAAGGAUCGGCUAACUCCGUGCCAGCAGCCGCGGUAAUACGGAGGAUCCGAGCGUUAUCCGGAUUUAUUGGGUUUAAAGGGAGCGUAGGUGGACUGGUAAGUCAGUUGUGAAAGUUUGCGGCUCAACCGUAAAAUUGCAGUUGAUACUGUCAGUCUUGAGUACAGUAGAGGUGGGCGGAAUUCGUGGUGUAGCGGUGAAAUGCUUAGAUAUCACGAAGAACUCCGAUUGCGAAGGCAGCUCACUGGACUGCAACUGACACUGAUGCUCGAAAGUGUGGGUAUCAAACAGGAUUAGAUACCCUGGUAGUCCACACAGUAAACGAUGAAUACUCGCUGUUUGCGAUAUACAGUAAGCGGCCAAGCGAAAGCAUUAAGUAUUCCACCUGGGGAGUACGCCGGCAACGGUGAAACUCAAAGGAAUUGACGGGGGCCCGCACAAGCGGAGGAACAUGUGGUUUAAUUCGAUGAUACGCGAGGAACCUUACCCGGGCUUAAAUUGCAGUGGAAUGAUGUGGAAACAUGUCAGUGAGCAAUCACCGCUGUGAAGGUGCUGCAUGGUUGUCGUCAGCUCGUGCCGUGAGGUGUCGGCUUAAGUGCCAUAACGAGCGCAACCCUUAUCUUUAGUUACUAACAGGUUAUGCUGAGGACUCUAGAGAGACUGCCGUCGUAAGAUGUGAGGAAGGUGGGGAUGACGUCAAAUCAGCACGGCCCUUACGUCCGGGGCUACACACGUGUUACAAUGGGGGGUACAGAAGGCAGCUAGCGGGUGACCGUAUGCUAAUCCCAAAAUCCUCUCUCAGUUCGGAUCGAAGUCUGCAACCCGACUUCGUGAAGCUGGAUUCGCUAGUAAUCGCGCAUCAGCCACGGCGCGGUGAAUACGUUCCCGGGCCUUGUACACACCGCCCGUCAAGCCAUGGGAGCCGGGGGUACCUGAAGUACGUAACCGCAAGGAUCGUCCUAGGGUAAAACUGGUGACUGGGGCUAA